CACGGAGUUAGCCGAUCCUUAUUCUCACGGUACAUUCAGCCCGGUAUACAUACCGGGGGUUAUUCCCGUGCAAAAGCAGUUUACAACCCGUAGGGCCGUCUUCCUGCACGCGGCAUGGCUGGUUCAGGGUUCCCCCCAUUGACCAAUAUUCCUUACUGCUGCCUCCCGUAGGAGCCUGGUCCGUGUCUCAGUACCAGUGUGGGGGUUUCUCCUCUCAGAGCCCCUAGACAUCGUCGCCUUGGUGGGCCGUUACCCCGCCAACCAGCUAAUGUCACGCGAGCCCAUCCGUCCCCUAUGAAUAUUUAAAUGAAGGCCCAUGCGGACCUGCAUUCUCAUGCGGUAUUAAUCCGGAUUUCUCCGGGCUAUCCCCCUGGGACGGGCAGGUUGCUCACGCGUUACGCACCCGUGCGCCACUCUCACGGGGACCGAAGCCCCCGGAUCCCGUUCGACCUUGCAUGUAUUACGGCCUGCCGCUAGCGUUCAUCCUGACGCCAGGUACUACAAACUC
rnacentral:rRNA from 1 species